ensembl:lncRNA FTX FTX transcript, XIST regulator
ACUUGGAGACAGGCCACAUUUGGGCAGUACGCAUUCGGAGGGCUCUCUGGCUUUCCGAUCUUGGGUCGCUGUACUUGGCUCUGAAUACAGUCACCCCAUCAGAGUAGCAAAACACUGUGGUUGUAGUGUGAGAAUCCAAUGUUAAUGUUGGCCGAAAGCUCUUGAUUUUCUUCCCUGAGAACAUAGGCGUGAGGAUUUGGAUGUGUUUCCAAAUGCUUGUUACUCUUUGCCGUAAACCUGGAAUUUGGACCUAUGGCUGCCUGGGACUCAUACUGUCGUGGAGAAAGAUUGAAAAGUAGUUAAUGGCAGUGGUGGUAUGAAGUCAGCAUGAAUACCAGCACAGCCCAACUAUGUGUAAGCAGAUCUGUGCAGGAAUGAGAGUCCCAGGGAGAGAAUCCACGUUGUUUCUGAAAGAAAAUGGCUAUAGCUCACUGUUGUUUACUGGAAAUAGUAGGGGGAAGGAAAGAUGGAAGUCCAGGUCCAGUGUCAUAUACUGCCCUGCACCUUACUCACUUCUCUGCCUUUAGGGUGAUGCCACACUCAAUCAGAAACUAUGCUACUGCUGAAGAGGUAUAUUGAGCCCUGCCUGGUUAACCUCCAGUGAGGUUAUUAGAGAAUUGGGAGAGGCUCAAAUCAGCAUCCUGCACCUAGUUAUCAAACCAUUGUGAAGUCUUGAUUCCUGGAUGGCCAGAAAACUUGUCAUUGGUCAAGAGCAACAUUAAGAUCUGCCUGUUACUCAUACUGAUGCUUCCUGCCCAGCAAGUUCAUCAGAGGGCGAGGAUGAAUUACGGUUGCCAUGAAUGUCCUUGUGAGGCAGUUGGGAAGCCUUGGCUGGAUUGUGAAGGAUAUUUGAAAAGUAUUUUAGAGUCCACCAGAUCAUCCAUGUGAGUGACCAUGCAGCAAAAGAAGGAGGGUCCUCUCAGUGAUUAAGGAUUAUGAAGUAUUAAUUCUUCCACUGAUAUCUCAAAAGGUGAUCUGGACAAAGGAACAGGUAUCUCAGGAGGCGGAGGCAGGAGUAUUGCUGAGCCCAGGAGUUGAAGACUGCAAUGAGCUAUGAUCGCGUCACUGCACCCCAACUUGGGUGAUAGAGCAAGACCCUGUCUCAAAAAAAAAAAAAAGCUUCCAAGUUUGCUGGAGCCAUGUUUUCUCUAAUGUCCCCACAGAACAGUGGUUGGUAGGAUGGCGGAGACAUGGACUUCAGAGAGUUCUUGGUAGAAGACUCAAAGAGCCACCUGUCAUGAGACAUCCCACUUCCUUCCCCAGGUUACUUCCAAGACUGAGCAGCCAGGUUUUUGGUAGAUGAGAACAAAUGUUUCUUCCUGAAGCCCUGGGGCUUCAGGUAGGAAGAAGGACUGCUAUACUUGUUCUCACCCUUGGCUUCUGGCUGCUCCAGUUAAACAUGGUUCCCAUUGAUACAGACAUUAGAGUGGGAAAGGACUUCGUUCAUAGACCGAAGACCCUCAAAGGAAAGUCCUUCCAUUUUGGGAAGGGUGACAUUGAUUUCGUUUAGCUGCUUAAGAUAUGUACUUGCUGUUGUCUUGUGAGACAUGACAUCUGAAGCUGAAGAGGAGUCCCUCUCAUUGUUGUCAUUGUCCCACCGGGACUGAAAGUCUCCCAGUUGAGGCAGCAUUUUAGCUUUGAUGUCUACAGGGCAAUCAUGGAUCAGGAAAUUUCUGCAAAUUAGACUUGGAAAACAAGGUCUUGAUCCUUCUUGUCUUUGGACGAAGACUAAUCAUCACUUUUGACUGAAGGUGUAGUGCUGGAGACUAUGUUGGAGGCAGCACCUGAUGCACUAUCCAUAUUCUUCCCCUUGAUCUUGUCUUAAAGUUUUCCAAAUGGAUUCCGAGGCUUGUCUUUGAUGAAAAGGUCAAACAUACUGGCAGUCAUGUUGUUUCUCAUAAGCUGGAUGUCAACCUCAAUUUCUCCUCUUUAUCCUUCUCUCCUGGUUUGGAUUUCAAGGUAUACCACCGCAUCUUCCUGCUCCCCUAGUCUGGGUGCAGGUCCUGCAGGUACACCUCGGCGAAGCCCAAGUACAGUAGCAGCAGCACCUCAAAGGUGGCCUCCUCCUCUGACACUGAGGUGGCAUACUUCUCCUUACCCACCUGAAUCACCGAGUACAUGUUGCUUGUACCGUCAGGCUCUUGGUUCUUGGCCCCUGGCCCUAUGCCUGCAACACUGUCACCUGCACGUGGAUUGGGAACCACAUAGCCCCCGGACCUGCUAAGGCCAUUAAGGACAGGAUGGUGAUGCCUCGGCUGACUGACGUGAGAAGAUUGUCAUGACCCAUGGCCUCUACUGCUGUCCUACCAACAGAAACUUCAUAAUGUUGUGCAGGCGUUACCACUACCUAGUUCCAGAACAUUGCCAUCACCCCCAAAAUAAAUCUUGCAUUCAUUAAGCAGUCACCCCUAUUUUCCCCCAUCCCU